rnacentral:misc_RNA from 1 species
GAUGAAGAACGUAGCGAAAUGCGAUACUUGGUGUGAAUUGCAGAAUCCCGUGAACCAUCGAGUCUUUGAACGCAAGUUGCGCCCGAAGCCAUCAGGUUGAGGGCACGUCUGCCUGGGCGUCACAUAUCGUUGCCCAAUGCCUAUUGCAGUGCAAUAGGAAUUUCUAGGGCGAAUGAUGGCUUCCCGUGAGCGUUGUUGCCUCGCGGUUGGUUGAAAAUCGAGUCCUUGGUAGGGCGUGCCAUGGUAGAUGGUGGUCGAGUUAGAACGAUACCGAUCAUGUGCAUGCUCCCCAAAAUAUGGCCUCUAUGACCCACACGCGUCUUUUGACGCUCAUGACGAGACCUCAGGUCAGGCGGGGCUACCCGCUGAAUUUAAGCAUAUCAAUAAGCGGAGGA